AAUAUUUCCCCAUACAGCCCUUUCAAAAGAGAGCAUACGAUGCUUCAAGAGACACUCAAACCCAUCACAACUCACAAUCAGUGGAAGCAAUUCAAAUGGGAACAGCGAAAACUGGAUCAAUACAGAUGCAGACUACUUCGUGCUGGAGCUAUAGAAGGAAGAAGCGCUCUUAAAGUGCGGUUAUGAUAUAUUGGCAUUAAAUAGUAAUCAUUUGGCAUUAUGUUAUAAUUUUUAACAUAAUGCAGUCAGACAAUGUCCACUAGGAUUGUGCCCUUCAACACCCACAACCUGCAAAAAU